UACGGAAGGCAGCAGUGGGGAAUAUUGCACAAUGGGCGCAAGCCUGAUGCAGCCAUGCCGCGUGUAUGAAAAAGGCCUUCGGGUUGUAAAGUACUUUCAGUCGUGAGGAAGGUGUUAAGGUUAAUAACCUUAGCAAUUGACGUUAGCGACAGAAGAAGCACCGGCUAACUCCGUGCCAGCAGCCGCGGUAAUACGGAGGGUGCGAGCGUUAAUCGGAAUUACUGGGCGUAAAGGGCACGCAGGCGGUUAAUUAAGUUGGAUGUGAAAUCCCCGGGCUUAACCUGGGAAUGGCAUUCAAGACUGGUUAGCUAGAGUCUUGUAGAGGGGGGUAGAAUUCCAUGUGUAGCGGUGAAAUGCGUAGAGAUGUGGAGGAAUACCGGUGGCGAAGGCGGCCCCUGGACAAAGACUGACGCUCAUGUGCGAAAGCGUGGGGAGCGAAACAGGGAUUAGAUAC
rnacentral:rRNA from 1 species